CGGAGAAUCACUUGAAUCUAGGAGUUCAAGGCUCUAGUGCACUAUGAUUGUGCCUGUAAAUAGCCACUGUGCUCCAGUCUGGGUAACAUAGUGAGACCCUCACCUCUG